AUUGAACGCUGGCGGCAGGCCUAACACAUGCAAGUCGAACGAGUAGCGGACGGGUGAGUAAUGUCUGGGAAACUGCCUGAUCGAGGGGUAUAACUACUGGAAACGGUAGCUACUCCCGCAUACCGUCGUUUGUGCCCUGAGGGGAUUAGCUAGCAGGUGGGGUAACGGAUCACCUAGGCGACGAUCCCUAGCUGGUCUGAGAGGAUGACCAGCCACACUGGAACUGAGACACGGUCCAGACUCCUACGGGAGGCAGCAGUGGGGAAUAUUGCACAAUGGGCGCAAGCCUGAGGCAGCCAUGCCGCGUGUAUGAAGAAGGCAUUCGGGUUGUAAAGUACUGUCAGCGGGGAGGCGUUACCCGAAGAAGAAGCACCGGCUAACUCCGUGCCAGCAGCCGCGGUAAUUC
rnacentral:rRNA from 1 species